CCUUCUUCAAAUGUUGAGACUGGGCAUGAAA
rnacentral:piRNA from 1 species